AGAGUUUGAUCCUGGCUCAGGAUGAACGCUGGCGGCGUGCCUAACACAUGCAAGUCGAACGGACUUUUCAUGAAGCCUAGCGAUUGAAAAGUUAGUGGCGGACGGGUGAGUAACGCGUGGGUAACCUGCCUUGUACUGGGGGACAACAGUUGGAAACGACUGCUAAUACCGCAUAAGCGCACAGCUUCGCAUGAAGCAGUGUGAAAAACUCCGGUGGUACAAGAUGGACCCGCGUCUGAUUAGCUGGUUGGUGAGGUAACGGCCACCAAGGCGACGAUCAGUAGCCGGCCUGAGAGGGUGAACGGCCAACAUUGGGACUGGAGACACGGCCCAAACUCCGUACGGGAGGCA
rnacentral:rRNA from 1 species